rnacentral:rRNA from 1 species
UACGUAUGGGGCAAGCGUUAUCCGGAUUUACUGGGUGUAAAGGGAGCGUAGGCGGCGGGGCAAGCCUGAUGUGAAAGCCCGGGGCUCAACCCCGGGACUGCAUUGGGAACUGCCCUGCUGGAGUGCCGGGGAGGCAGGCGGAAUUCCUAGUGUAGCGGUGAAAUGCGUAGAUAUUAGGAGGAACACCAGUGGCGAAGGCGGCCUGCUGGACGGUGACUGACGCUGAGGCUCGAAAGCGUGGGGAGCAAACAGG